rnacentral:rRNA from 1 species
GGUUAAGCGACUAAGCGUACACGGUGGAUGCCCUGGCAGUCAGAGGCGAUGAAGGACGUGCUAAUCUGCGAAAAGCGCCGGCGAGGUGAUAUGAACCCUUGACCCGGCGAUGUCCGAAUGGGGAAACCCAGUGCAAUCCGUUGCACUAUCGUUAACUGAAUACAUAGGUUAACGAGGCGAACCGGGGGAACUGAAACAUCUAAGUACCCCGAGGAAAAGAAAUCAACCGAGAUUCCCCCAGUAGCGGCGAGCGAACGGGGAGCAGCCCGGAGUCUGAAUCAGCUUGUGUGUUAGUGGAACGGUCUGGAAAGUCCGACGGUACAGGGUGAUAGUCCCGUACACGAAAAUGCACAGGUUGUGAACUCGAAGAGUAGGGCGGGACACGUGGUAUCCUGUCUGAAUAUGGGGGGACCAUCCUCCAAGGCUAAAUACUCCUGACUGACCGAUAGUGAACCAGUACCGUGAGGGAAAGGCGAAAAGAACCCCGGCGAGGGGAGUGAAAAAGAACCUGAAACCGUGUACGUACAAGCAGUGGGAGCCUCUUUAUGGGGUGACUGCGUACCUUUUGUAUAAUGGGUCAGCGACUUAUAUUCUGUAGCAAGGUUAACCGUAUAGGGGAGCCGAAGGGAAACCGAGUCUUAACUGGGCGUUAAGUUGCAGGGUAUAGACCCGAAACCCGGUGAUCUAGCCAUGGGCAGGUUGAAGGUUGGGUAACACUAACUGGAGGACCGAACCGACUAAUGUUGAAAAAUUAGCGGAUGACCUGUGGCUGGGGGUGAAAGGCCAAUCAAACCGGGAGAUAGCUGGUUCUCCCCGAAAGCUAUUUAGGUAGCGCCUCGUGAACUCAUCUUCGGGGGUAGAGCACUGUUUCGGCUAGGGGGCCAUCCCGGCUUACCAACCCGAUGCAAACUACGAAUACCGAAGAAUGUUAUCACGGGAGACACACGGCGGGUGCUAACGUCCGUCGUGAAGAGGGAAACAACCCAGACCGCCAGCUAAGGUCCCAAAGUCAUGGUUAAGUGGGAAACGAUGUGGGAAGGCACAGACAGCCAGGAUGUUGGCUUAGAAGCAGCCAUCAUUUAAAGAAAGCGUAAUAGCUCACUGGUCGAGUCGGCCUGCGCGGAAGAUGUAACGGGGCUAAACCAUGCACCGAAGCUGCGGCAGCGACACUUAUGUGUUGUUGGGUAGGGGAGCGUUCUGUAAGCCGUUGAAGGUGUGCUGUGAGGCAUGCUGGAGGUAUCAGAAGUGCGAAUGCUGACAUAAGUAACGAUAAAGCGGGUGAAAAGCCCGCUCGCCGGAAGACCAAGGGUUCCUGUCCAACGUUAAUCGGGGCAGGGUGAGUCGACCCCUAAGGCGAGGCCGAAAGGCGUAGUCGAUGGGAAACAGGUUAAUAUUCCUGUACUUGGUGUUACUGCGAAGGGGGGACGGAGAAGGCUAUGUCAGCCGGGCGACGGUUGUCCCGGUUUAAGCAUGUAGGCGGAGGUUCCAGGUAAAUCCGGUACCUUUUAACGCUGAGGUGUGAUGACGAGGCACUACGGUGCUGAAGUGAUAAAUGCCCUGCUUCCAGGAAAAGCCUCUAAGCAUCAGGUAACACGAAAUCGUACCCCAAACCGACACAGGUGGUCAGGUAGAGAAUACCAAGGCGCUUGAGAGAACUCGGGUGAAGGAACUAGGCAAAAUGGUGCCGUAACUUCGGGAGAAGGCACGCUGAUGUGUAGGUGAAGCCCCUGCGGGCGGAGCUGAAAUCAGUCGAAGAUACCAGCUGGCUGCAACUGUUUAUUAAAAACACAGCACUGUGCAAACACGAAAGUGGACGUAUACGGUGUGACGCCUGCCCGGUGCCGGAAGGUUAAUUGAUGGGGUUAGCGGCAACGCGAAGCUCUUGAUCGAAGCCCCGGUAAACGGCGGCCGUAACUAUAACGGUCCUAAGGUAGCGAAAUUCCUUGUCGGGUAAGUUCCGACCUGCACGAAUGGCGUAAUGAUGGCCAGGCUGUCUCCACCCGAGACUCAGUGAAAUUGAACUCGCUGUGAAGAUGCAGUGUACCCGCGGCAAGACGGAAAGACCCCGUGAACCUUUACUAUAGCUUGACACUGAACACUGGUCCUUGAUGUGUAGGAUAGGUGGGAGGCUUUGAAGCGUGGACGCCAGUCUGCGUGGAGCCAACCUUGAAAUACCACCCUUUAAUGGCUGGUGUUCUAACGUAGACCCGUAAUCCGGGUUGCGGACAGUGUCUGGUGGGUAGUUUGACUGGGGCGGUCUCCUCCCAAAGAGUAACGGAGGAGCACGAAGGUUGGCUAAUCCUGGUCGGACAUCAGGAGGUUAGUGCAAUGGCAUAAGCCAGCUUGACUGCGAGCGUGACGGCGCGAGCAGGUGCGAAAGCAGGUCAUAGUGAUCCGGUGGUUCUGAAUGGAAGGGCCAUCGCUCAACGGAUAAAAGGUACUCCGGGGAUAACAGGCUGAUACCGCCCAAGAGUUCAUAUCGACGGCGGUGUUUGGCACCUCGAUGUCGGCUCAUCACAUCCUGGGGCUGAAGUAGGUCCCAAGGGUAUGGCUGUUCGCCAUUUAAAGUGGUACGCGAGCUGGGUUUAGAACGUCGUGAGACAGUUCGGUCCCUAUCUGCCGUGGGCGCUGGAGAAUUGAGGGGGGCUGCUCCUAGUACGAGAGGACCGGAGUGGACGCAUCACUGGUGUUCGGGUUGUCAUGCCAAUGGCACUGCCCGGUAGCUAAAUGCGGAAGAGAUAAGUGCUGAAAGCAUCUAAGCACGAAACUUGCCCCGAGAUGAGUUCUCCCUGAGACUUUAAGUCUCCUGAAGGAACGUUGAAGACGACGACGUUGAUAGGUCGGGUGUGUAAGCGCAGCGAUGCGUUGAGCUAACCGAUACUAAUGAACCGUGAGGCUUAACCUU